rnacentral:rRNA from 3 species
CCUACGGGAGGCAGCAGUGAGGAAUAUUGGACAAUGGAGGCAACUCUGAUCCAGCCAUGCCGCGUGCAGGAUGACGGCCCUAUGGGUUGUAAACUGCUUUUAUGUAGGAAGAAACACUCUCACGUGUGAGAGCUUGACGGUACUACAAGAAUAAGGACCGGCUAACUCCGUGCCAGCAGCCGCGGUAAU